CAGUUUCUUUUCCUGUCCAAUCAUCAUGCAAUUUGGAGAGCAUAUGGAAAAUUGUUAUUGGCAUUCCCAUGCAUGGAUCUGUCUGCAGCUGCAGCUCUAGAGAUUGCUGCCAAGCAAUUGAGAAUAGUUGCCUAUUCCAAUCUAUCAAGAGAUAUUCCAAUGGGCCAAGGCUACGCAAGUUGCUUUAUUUUUUUUAAUUGCAGGUGAAAAAUGGUCUGGAUGGAAUGAAAGGCUUUUAGAUCAGGAGCAGCACAUGGGUCACAUGCAUAGAUGACAAGAUGGGCCGAGCUAAAUGGUUAGCAUGAGGUUUAUAAUUUUGGCCAGACACUAAAAGCACCCCAGCACAAACCCUAUAAGUGCCCUCGUUGGCGUGGCUUGAGUCGUAGUGCCCAGGAUGGGCCUUUCUAGCGGCGCAUUGGGUGGCACAAUCACGAUGCCGCAAUUUCUAGGAACCGCAGUGGCAGCUGUAGCAUGCAUGAGACUAGGCCGGCAACUUCCUGGGUACGUCACGAUGGGCUCACUAAGGGCUUAUUCAUUUCUGAGCUGGAAUAGCCUAAAACUAUUUGGUGACCAAAACCAUUUUAUAUUUUGUACUAAACAGGCCCUAAAUGUUACGUGCCAUUCCAAGCUAGGAACCGAACGUACGGGCCCUAAUGCUGAAACAGCUGAGGCGAUUGCUUGUAGAGUUGUAGGGAAGGUUUAGCUUUGAGGUCCUUUCAUUUGGCUUCCGACAACGUCAAUCUUCUACAACUAAAGAGCACCCACAAAGAAUCGUCCAACUGCACACCCAAAAGUUUUUGGUAAAAAAAACUGAUAGUAAAAGAAACGGAAAAACAAUCGUGAAAAAAGCAAAAAAAAACAACAACUAGCUAAAACGGAAUGGAAAAAACGAUCGGAAAAAGAAUGCAUGUGGUCGAGGUGUAAGGUUCAAGUAUUUAUCUUGUGUCAUAAGAAGUGUUGGAGGCGUAGGAUUGUGUUCAUAUGGCCAAUAAGUUGUAAAAGAGAUAAAGGCUAGGGCACUUGAUUUCCUUUUUUAGACUUUGCUCAUGCAUGAGAGUACAAAAUCUAAUGUUGAUGCUCACAACUUAGUCAGAAGCAUGUUUUUUUCUUUUGAGACAGACAGGCAUCUUUAGCUGUUAGAACCGUCUGUUGCGUUCGUAACUCACACGAUCAACUCCAUGAAUAAAGAGUAGAGAGGGCCGUCCAAUAACAUCCCAAUACCCUCUCGCUAGGGCAGCACAGGAGUAGCUGAAACCACGCCCCGCGCUCACCAAUCCCAUGCCCAUACGAUCGAACCACACCCAGCACCCAUCCCAUGCUCGCUUGGUGGAACAGCGAUCCUACACACACCUGCCCUGCCUGCGGAGGCUUCUGCUGACCUCAGGCAUCAGCACACUAGCCAUGGCGGGGCCCUCAGCAGUAGUAAUCUACUUUUGAAACAAUCAGAUGAAACAAUUGCAACAAAAAUCUGCGACAGAUGAAACACUUGAAACUUGCGCUUCCAACAUGCAUGUGAAGUCAGUGCAACAUAUACAAUAACUCUGGGCAUAUUACCCGCUACCCGAACCCGAAAUACCCAGAUCCGAACUACCCGAACCCGCACUACCCGAUAUCUUGUUCGGAUAGCAAAUUCUGUUACCCGAAUUUAUAUUGGGUAAUUCGGGUAACUAUGACCGGUACCCGAACUACCCAUAAUUCUACGUUGCCGUAGUCAAAGCUAAGCCACCUCCGGCUCCUUGGCUUCAGGCUCCUCAUUAACUC
rnacentral:lncRNA from 1 species